rnacentral:rRNA from 1 species
CCAGACUCCUACGGGAGGCAGCAGUGAGGAAUCUUCCACAAUGGGCGAAAGCCUGAUGGAGCAACGCCGCGUGCAGGACGAAGGCCUUCGGGUUGUAAACUGCUUUUAUAAGUGAGGAAUAUGACGGUAACUUAUGAAUAAGGAUCGGCUAACUACGUGCCAGCAGCCGCGGUCAUACGUAGGAUCCGAGCGUUAUCCGGAGUGACUGGGCGUAAAGAGUUGCGUAGGCGGUUGUAUAAGUGAAUAGUGAAAUCUGGUGGCUCGACCAUACAGGCUAUUGUUCAAACUGUACAACUUGAGAGUGGUAGAGGUCACUGGAAUUUCUUGUGUAGGAGUGAAAUCCGUAGAUAUAAGAAGGAACACCAAUGGCGUAGGCAGGUGACUGGACCAUUUCUGACGCUAAGGCACGAAAGCGUGGGGAGCGAACCGGAUUAGAUACCCGGGUAGUCCACGCCGUAAACGAUGGAUACUGGCUGUUGGAGGUAUCGACCCCUUCAGUAGCGAAGCUAACGCGUUAAGUAUCCCGCCUGUGGAGUACGGCCGCAAGGCUAAAACAUAAAGGAAUUGACGGGGCCCGCACAAG